AGAACCAACAGGGGCAGUGACCUCCCAAGCAAACCCUCUGUCAGGGCCACGGACACACAUGCAGAAGACAGGAACCUGAGCAGAGAGUCACUGGGUCCCUUCCGUCAGACACUGCGAUGAGCUGCCAGCCCCUCUGCUGUGUGGUCCUUUGUGUCCUCGGGGCAAUCCCCGUGGAUACUGUAGUUACCCAGACACCAAAACACCUGGUCGCAGCGACAGGGAGUAAGGGGACCCUGAAGUGCGAACAACGUCUGGGACAUAACGCUAUGUACUGGUACAAACAGAGUGCUCAGAGGCCACCGAAGCUCAUGUUUGCCUACAACUAUAAGGAACUCGCCGAAAAUGACAGUGUCCCCAGUCGCUUCACACCCGAGUGCUCAGACAGCUCCCACCUGCACCUUCACGUGGCCGCCCUACAGCCAGAGGACUCCGCCGUGUAUCUCUGUGCGAGCAGCGAGGACACAGCCCCGCACAGCCAACGGCUCCCCGUGCACAAACUUCCUGGGUGCAGCCGGGGAGCCGUGGGGGCGACCACGGCUCAGCUCGACAUCUCCCGUGGGACCCCAGACAGACAGAAACCCCAGGCCACGACGUGCCGGUCGGUUCGCUGGAUGCGGCAAGGCCCAGUUCCCUGCACAGACGCCCACAGCCUGUGGCCUGGCUCUGCCCGGGGCCAGACUGUGCCCGCGGCUGAGUGCGGGACGGAAAGGGUCCACCUCCAGUUCCUCCGGUAGCUUCCGAUCGAUCGGCACGUGGCCCCGGGGACUCUUUCAGGAGACACGCUGCACUCUGGCCGCGGUGGCCCUGCCGAGCCUCCUGCCAACGCGUACCUUUCUCUGCCUGUUCCUUCCACCCAGGUGAGACCCUGGAUCUCAGCCCUGGUCCCAGCUCCCGACGCGCUCCGAGCCCCUUUGCAGAACACCUGCUUGCUUCACCACAGGGCCCUGU